UACGUAGGGGGCAAGCGUUGUCCGGAUUUAUUGGGCGUAAAGAGCGUGUAGGCGGCUUGGCAAGUCCGCUGUGAAAAGUCCAGGCUCAACCCUGGACCUGCAUUCGAUACGGGCAGACUAGAGUUCGGUAGAGGAGACUGGAAUUCCGUGGUCGUAGCGGUGAAAUGCGCCAGAUAUCAGGAGGAACACCGGUGGCGAAGGCGGGUCUCGU
rnacentral:rRNA from 1 species